rnacentral:rRNA from 1 species
ACUCCUACGGGAGGCAGCAGUGGGGAAUAUUGCACAAUGGGCGCAAGCCUGAUGCAGCCAUGCCGCGUGUAUGAAGAAGGCCUUCGGGUUGUAAAGUACUUUCAGCAGUGAGGAAGGUGGGUAUGUUAAUAGCAUACUCAUUUGACGUUAGCUGCAGAAGAAGCACCGGCUAACUCCGUGCCAGCAGCCGCGGUAAUACGGAGGGUGCGAGCGUUAAUCGGAAUUACUGGGCGUAAAGCGCAUGCAGGUGGUUUGUUAAGUCAGAUGUGAAAGCCCGGGGCUCAACCGUCGGAAUUGCAUUUGAAACUGGCAAACUAGAGUACUGUAGAGGGGGGUAGAAUUUCGAGGUGUAGCGGUGAAAUGCGUAGAGAUCUGAAGGAAUACCGGUAGGCGAAGGCGGCCCCCUGGACAGAUACUGACACUCAGAUGCGAAAGCGUGGGGAAGCGAAACAGGAUUAGAUACCCUGGAGGCGUA